rnacentral:rRNA from 1 species
AGCAGUCGCCGCGGUAAUACGUAGGUGGCAAGCGUUGUCCGGAAUUAUUGGGCGUAAAGCGCGCGCAGGUGGUUUAAUAAGUCUGAUGUGAAAGCCCACGGCUCAACCGUGGAGGGUCAUUGGAAACUGUUAAACUUGAGUGCAGGAGAGAAAAGUGGAAUUCCUAGUGUAGCGGUGAAAUGCGUAGAGAUUAGGAGGAACACCAGUGGCGAAGGCGGCUUUUUGGCCUGUAACUGACACUGAGGCGCGAAAGCGUGGGGAGCAAACAGGAUUAGAUACCCCCGUAGUCCCUGUCUCUUAUAC